CCGCCUGCCUCAGCGACCUCAGAAUGGCUCUCAGAUGCUGCAUAUGCCUCUGUCAAUCAUUACUUUAUAUAAUGAUGUCGUCUAAAUAGGCGGCGGCAUAUGCAGCAUGUGGCCAGAGAAUCUUAUCCAUGAGGCGCUGGAACAUGGCGGGAGCCCAGAACAAACCGAACGAAAGAGUGAUGAAUUGGUGUAAUCCGAUUGGUGUGGAAAAGGCAGUUUUUUUCUCAGGAUAAUGGAGUUAAGGUUAGCUGUCAAUAUCCCUUAGUUAAAUCCAGUGUCGAAUAAAAUUGAGCCGCACCCAACCAAUCGAGCAGUUCGUCAAUUGGGCAUUGGGUACGCAUCAAAUUUAGACACCGCAUUGACUUUCCGGUAACACUGAACCGGACUGUCCCAUCACUCUUAGGUACAAGAACAACUGGGCUGGCCCAAUCGCUGUGCGAUUCUUCUAUUACCCCCAUUUUGAGCAUUGCCUCUAAUUUGUCCCGAAUCACCUUUUUCUUGUGCUCAGGUACGCGGUAUGGCCGACUACGCACAGCCACUCCCGGUGGGGUCUCAAUAUGGUGUAGUAUGAGGUUAGUACAACUGGGAAGAGGAGAGAACACGUCCGCAAAUUCUUUUUGCAACCUGCCCACCUCUGUGAGCUGGGACGGUGAGAUGUGGUCUCCACAAGGGACCGGGGUGAAUGGAUCGACUUUGAACUUAACCUCCGGCCAGAGCUCCACUCUCUCCGGAACUGCUGUCGCCAUGGACACAGGGACCGACUCUCUCCAUAAUUUAUGGAAGUUGAGGUGGUAAAUUUGAGGUGCUCCGCCUCUAUCCUUUCGUUUAACCUCAUAAUCGAGGUCCUCAACUCGCCGUGUAACCUCAAAGGGUCCUUGACACUUGGCGAAUAAUUUUGAGCUUGACGUGGGGAGUAAUACUAGUACUUUGUCUCCCGGUACAAAUUCCCAUGGCUGGGCAACCCUAUUAUAGAUCCGGCUUUGUGUCUCUUGAGCUUGGAGCAACUGACCCUGCUGUGACAACUGACCCAGUGUGUGUAGAUUUGCUCAAAGAUCAAGGACAUAUCAAAUUUCAUUCUUGCUUUGCGGGGUAGACGUCCAUACAGAAGCUCGUAGGGGGAAAAUCCCAUGGAGGCUUGCGGGACCUCCCUGACUGCAAAUAAUAAGGGUUCAAGCCAUUUGUCCCAAUUUCUAGCAUCCUCGUGUACGAACUUGCGAAUCAUAUUUUUCAGGGUUCGAUUAAAUCGUUCCACCAGCCUGUCAGUUUGUGGGUGAUAAAUGCUGGUGCGAAUUGUUUUAAUCCCCAGUAAUUCAUAAAGUUCGCGUAGUGUACGUGACAUAAAUGUUGUGCCUUGGUUGGUGAGGAUUUCUUUCGGAAUCCUCACCCGGGAGAUAAUUUUGAAGAGUGCCUCCACAACACUGCAUGCUGAGAUGUUGCAAAGAGGCACUGCUUCCAGAUAUCGUAUUGCAUAAUCCACCAGGACUAAUACAAACUGAUAUCCGCGUGCUGACCAUUCUAAUGGCCCGACAAGGUCCAUACCAAUUCUUUCAAAGGGGGCCUCGAUUAAUGGUAAUGGGUGCAAUGGCAUUCUUGGGGUGGCCGGCGGAUUCACCAGCUGACAUUCACGGCAUGCCGCACACCAUCUGCGUACAUUCCCGCAAAUGCCCGGUCAAUAAAAGCGGGCCAUUAAACGGUGCAUUGUUCUUUCCUGUCCUAAGUGACCUACCACAGGAAUGUGGUGAGCCGCCUGGAAAAGUGUUUCCCGAUGGCUCCUCAGGACUAAUAACUGGGUUGUAUUUUCAUGGGUUUGAGUGUCCUGCGUCACUCGAUACAACCGGUCCCUAAUAAUCGAAAAAUAUGGAUAUGUGAGGGCGAUGAAAGGCUGGAGCUGCUGGCCAUAGAUUACUCUUACUUGGACGAAGGCAUGCCUAAGGGUUUCGUCAUGCGACUGCUCAAGAGGGAAAUCCCCCUCCGGGAACUCCCUAAGGGCGGGAAUGCCGGAGGAUUCCCCCCCGCGUCAUUCUGACGCUGAGCAAACGUGGAUGGCCCCGGCACCGCCUCCCCAGCCAUCGCGUCACACAUCACACACCGAGAUCUUGGUUUGCAGGACCCAUCCACACACAGCGCUUUUAAUAACCUCUUAAACCCCGGCCAAUUUGUUCCCAGAAUUAGUGGAUGGGUGAGGCGGGAAUUAACCACAGCCCCACUCUAUGAUUUACCCCCCGAAAUUAAAUAACGGUAGUCACUACCGGAUAUUUGUGAACAUCCCCAUGUACACACCUCACCAUCACCUUGUGUUUUGUACCCAAAGCCCCAUCAUGAACCAAGCCGUGGUGGAUCGAGGUUUGAUUACAGCCCAAAUCCACCAGGGCUUGGUAUGUACACCCCUUAAUUUUUACUAGUAUACGGUACAUCCCUGCUCGAUUGGGACCAGUCUGUGGCGUGUCAGUACCUGGAUCCACGUUUCCGGGGAGCGGGUAUAUGGUGAGAGGGAGGAGAGGGUGGGACAAGAGGAUUAGAAGCAAGAGAGAGAGAGAGAGAGUUGGACUGCUGCUCGCCGGCUUCCGGGUAGGCCGCCAUGUGGGCUUCGGCCAGCUGGAUGGCAUCAUCCACCGACGUGGGACGAUGGCACUGGACCCAUUUCGCAGUUCUUCUGGGCAGGCGAACAGAUAUGUAGCAGGGUGUAUUGAAUCUCACCGGUUUAUGACAUAAAAAUAAUUAAAAUCUAGGAAAGUGCGCAGAGCUCGCCGUUUACACGUCAGUUCCUCGCAUGGUGUCAUGUGACUCCCCCACUCAGCCCCUAUUGACCCAGCCACUGGCCACCCAGCCUCUGGAGACCCAGCCACUGGCCGCCUAGCCUCUAGUGACCCAGCCACCAGCCACCCAGCCCCUAGUGACCCAGCCGCCCAGCCCCUAGUGACCCAGUCACUGGCCACCCAGCCUCUGGAGACCCGGCCACUGGCCGCCUAGCCUCUAGUGACCCAGCCACCCAGCCCCUAGUGACCCAGCCACCGGCUGCCCAGCCCCUAGUGACCCAGCCACUGGCUGCCCAGCUUCUGGAGAACCGGCCACUGGCCGCCCAGCCUCUAGUGACCCAGCCUCUAGUGACCUGGCCACUGGCUGCCCAGUCUCUCUGCCCCUAACUCUGACUAUCUCCAAAGGAAAGCAAAGAAAGAAAAUGUGCUUCCUUCAAAGAUUGCACGGUGCAGUCAUCAAUGGAUGUCUUUCAAUAUGAAAAAUCUAAAAAGAAGAAAAAGACAGGUAUAAACUACAGAAUAGAGUUUACUGUAGAGAUUAAUCAGUAAUAGUCAGGAAAUAGAAUCCCACAAUUUUGAAAAUUGUUGAAAAAUAGGAGUGAAACGUGGCUCUAAGCUAUGUAGAAGAGGGUGUCUGAGCUCCAUUCCUAGAGGCAUACAAAUGCAAUGCAAACACCCCAAGAACUGAGUAGAGAAUCCCUGAUAAGGACUUAGAAUGGUAUUUCAGUCUCAAAACUGUUUUACAAAGUUUUUAUCUACUGAAUUUACUGAACACUAAAUUUUGAAACUGUAAGGAUUUGCUGUUCAAGAGAGUAUAGUUGAAACUGUGCAUGCAUUACUUAAAAGCUUGGAUGAGUAUUAAUCUCUAGGCAUGAAAAUAGGUUUGCUAGUGAAUCGGUGGUCUUUGAAUACAUGUAGGCAGUCUGUGUAUUAAAUUUAACAGAAAUGUAGAGAGAAAUAAUAAAAAAUG